AAAUCUGAGCAAGAGCAUGAAUACUGCAUCUAGAAACAAUGUCAGGACCAAACAAGAAGCCAAGAAAAAAUAGAAAGGAAACAAAAAGGAGCACAUCUAAGAGGGGGGAUGCUCAUGAGAAAGUGUACAUCUAUGUGCUUGCUAUCUUUAUGUGAAGGGACUUCAAAAUCCAAAGUCCGUUUUCUACAAGACCUACAUCUUUGUUCAAAUUGCAUAUGCAAGUGUCCAGCUGGCCUUUAGCCUACUCAUGCGCAUUCCAGCUUGUCAUAGGCUGACAAACCGAUGUGAUCAAUGGCCUGUUAGGAGAUUUAUCAAGUGGAUGCAUCAGGCAUUAUGUUGGACGAGGAAUGUAUGAGCGAACAACUGACUUUAUCAAGUAGUCUAUAUUUUCCUGUGGAAAUAUCUUUGUAUUGUGCUCAAACAUGGAAUAUUGUUUUAGUUUGAUUCUGUGUAUAUGAAGGAUUUUUUAGGUGUAUGGGUGUGCCCAAGAUUAGGGUGGUUCUUUUGGCA